rnacentral:rRNA from 1 species
CCUACGGGAGGCAGCAGUGAGGAAUAUUGGUCAAUGGGCUCGAGCCUGAACCAGCCAAGUAGCGUGAAGGAUGACUGCCCUACGGGUUAUAAACUUCUUUUAUAAAGGAAUCAAGUGAGGCACGUGUGCCUUUUUGUAUGUACUUUCUGAAUAAGGAUCGGCUAACUCCGUGCCAGCAGCCGCGGUAAUACGGAGGAUCCGAUCGUUAUCCGGAUUUCUUGGGUUUAAAAGGAGCGUAGAUUGGGUGUUAAGUCAGUUGUGAAAUUUUGCGGCUCAACCGUAAAAUUGCAAUGGAUACUGGCAGUCUUGAGUACAGUUGAGGUAGGCGGAAUUCGUGGUGUAGCUGUGAAAUGCUUAGAUAUCACGAAGAACUCCGAUUGCGAAGGCAGCUUACUAAACUGCCACUGACAUUGAUGCUCGAAAGUGUGGGUAUCAAACAGGAUUAGAUACACCUGUAGUC